rnacentral:rRNA from 1 species
UACAGAGGUCUCGAGCGUUAGACGGAAUCACUGGGCUUAAAGCGUGUGUAGGCGGAUCGGUAAGUACCUUGUGAAAUCCCACAGCUUAACUGUGGAACUGCUUGGUAUACUGCCAGUCUUGAGCCAGCUAGGGGCUACCGGAACAAAUGGUGGAGCGGUGAAAUGCGUAGAUAUCAUUUGGAACGCCAAUGGUGAAAACAGGUAGCUGGGGCUGUGCUGACGCUGAGACACGAAAGCCAGGGGAGCAAACGGG